AGAUCCAUGGCCCGCUGGAGCUGCCCAUCUUCAGCAACUUGCCGCCACAUACAGCCCCCGCCCCCGCGUCGGCUACGUUGACUUCCACAAGGUGGUUGAGAUGCAGCCCAAUAUGUCUUCACCUUGAACCACGAGCAACACCGCAGAUUGGGUGCUCUUUGCUACCAGCUGGUGAAAGGAAAAGCUGCUCCGACUGGCGAGGAUGCCCACAAAGGUGGCCUCUUCCGACGACUUUUGCCCUGUUCCUCUGGUGGCCUCGAUUAUUCUUCCUCCCCGGCAUAGGUGCUGCAGAUCCACGGCCCGCAAGAGCCGCCCAUCUUUGGCAACUCGCCGCCAUCUACAGUUUCCCCCGCUGCUGCGUUGACUUACACAAGCGGCACCGCAGGUUUUGUGCUAUUUGCUACCAUCUGGUGAAAGGAAAAGCCGCUCCGAUCUGUGAGGAUGCCCACCAAGGUGGCCUCUCUUGACGACUUCUGCCCUGCCCCUUCGGUCACCUCGAUUUUUCUUCCUCCACAGCAUAGGUGCAACACCGCAGGUUGUGUGCUCUUUGCUACCAUCUGGUGAAAGGAAAAGCUGCUCCAAUCUGGCGAGGAUCGGAUGCUACCAAGGUGGCCUCUCCUGAUGACUCCUGCCCUGCCCAUCCGGUGGCCUUGAUUAUUCUUCCUCCUCGACAUAGGUGAGUAAAUGGUUAGAUGAACAUUCUCAACCUGAGGGCGUCCCCUAUGAUCACCCAUAUAUUCCGGCGCAGCUAAACUCGGCCACGGCAAGGAGAAUGGGCCUAGGAUGAGCUCUUCGUCAGUGCCGUCGAUAACCUGGGCUACAUGCUCAUCUAGAACUACACGAGCAGGCACGGAGGAGCCAGUUUUGGUCAAUGUUCAGAAAGAAUGCUCAAAACUCUCAAGAAGAUGACAUGCCCUCAUCAGAAUAGUCGUUUGAUGUUUCUAGAUUUUAGCAAUCACGUUCCAAAGGACCUUUCGGGAUCAACUAUAACGGCUGUGCUUAAAUAAGAAAAUGACAUCCAUCCUGUUCUCGCUCACAAUAAACAGGUCCUUGCUGGGGGGAGACGAUUAAUGGUCCAGAAGGGCCAUUUCAUGAUUGUGAAGAGAGCACCAGAUGAAUUCAUCAGUUUGAAGCUUAAAGAAUAAAUUUCACAGUGGCGACUUGGUGCCAAACUUUGGGCCAUCCCAAAAGGCGGCACGUCGAAGAUAUGUAUGCUGGUGAUGGUGGACCGGAGUGAUCGCAUCCUGGGCGAGAAGAGUGAUCGAUGGAGCUUGGUCUAUGGGAAAUCAAUCUUCCUGAAGAAGGCCAUCUUCAUCAUCGGUUGCGACGAGUACUCAAAGCUGGCUUUCUUGGAUUAGAUUCAUCAGGGCAGUUUGUACGAUAUGCAACCAUGAUUCUGCUUGACGGCCAGGAACAAGAUGCCGGCGUAUGUUCUACAGGCAAAACUCGAGCGGCUCCCUGAUGGGUGUGACUCCAUGAGUGAAGCGUGGAUCUGUCUUUGGUGCAAUCAUCUGCAUGUACACUAAUACUAACUGGAAACAUAGGUAGUGUGGUGAAAUGCAUCCACUUGGUGAUCGCCUCCUUGAAGGGCAUUACCAAGCUGUCUUUUGUUUGUUUGUUCGUUUCGUUUGCUUGUUCGUGGGGUGAUGCAUAUGUUCUUGGAGAGUUGUUGUUUCCGUUAGCAAAACUUUCAAUAGGGGUGUGGGUAAAUGUAAACAUCAACCAGAAUUAUUGUAUGUCUUUGAAAGGUGCAAUGAAACCAAAUUUUGGUUCCUACUUGAUCA